rnacentral:misc_RNA from 1 species
GUUGACUCUAUUCUGAUUGAUGAAGCCAGGACUCCCCUAAUCAUAUCUGGACCUGCUGAAAAACCUAGCGACCAGUAUUAUAAAGCUGCUAAGGUAGCAGCUGCCUUUGAGCGAGCUAUUCAUUAUACGGUUGACGAGAAGCAAAAAAAUGUCUUACUGACAGAGCAGGGUUAUGCAGAUGCUGAGGAAAUUCUGGAUGUGAAAGACUUGUAUGAUCCGCGACAACAAUGGGCAUCAUAUAUUUUGAAUGCAAUAAAAGCCAAAGAACUUUUCCUUAAAGAUGUGAAUUACAUCAUUCGUGGGAAGGAGGUUCUUAUAGUAGAUGAGUUCACUGGCCGAGUCAUGCAGGGGAGACGUUGGAGUGAUGGACUUCACCAAGCAGUGGAAGCGAAGGAAGGCCUACCCAUUCAAAAUGAAACUGUAACCUUAGCAUCAAUUAGCUACCAAAACUUCUUUCUCCAGUUCCCGAAGCUUUGUGGCAUGACUGGCACUGCUGCAACAGAAAGUGCAGAGUUUGAGAGCAUUUACAAACUCAAAGUAACUAUGGUGCCUACGAACAAGCCAAUGAUAAGAAAGGAUGAUUCCGAUGUAGUCUUUCGUGCAACUUCUGGGAAAUGGAGAGCAGUUGUUGUAGAGAUUUCUAGAAUGCAUAAAAUAGGGAGACCUGUACUGGUUGGUACAACCAGUGUUGAGCAGAGUGAUGCACUGUCAGAGCAAUUGCGUGAAGCUGGGAUCCCCCAUGAGGUUCUGAAUGCUAAACCAGAAAAUGUGGAAAGAGAAGCUGAGAUUGUGACACAGAGUGGGCGUCUUGGUGCAGUUACAAUUGCAACUAACAUGGCAGGUCGUGGUACAGAUAUAAUUCUUGGUGGUAAUGCAGAAUUCAUGGCAAGACUGAAGUUGCGAGAAAUAUUAAUGCCAAGAGUUGUCAGACCAGCUGGAGGAGUUUUUGUCUCUGUAAAGAAACCUCCUCCAAAGAGGACAUGGAAGGUUAGUGAAAGUCUAUUUCCAUGCACACUAUCCAAAGAAAAGACCAAGCUGGCUGAGGAAGCUGUAGAAGUUGCUGUCAAAAUGUGGGGUCCGAGAUCGUUGACAGAACUAGAAGCAGAGGAACGAUUGUCUUAUUCUUGUGAAAAGGGUCCUGUUCAAGAUGAAGUAAUUGCAAAGCUACGCAGUGCUUUUCUAGAAAUUGUCGGAGAAUAUAAAGUCUACACUGAGGAAGAAAAAAAGGAGGUUAUUUCAUCUGGUGGCCUCCAUGUGAUCGGGACUGAACGACAUGAGUCGCGGCGAAUUGACAAUCAGCUGCGUGGUCGCAGUGGUAGACAAGGAGAUCCUGGAAGUUCCCGCUUCUUCCUUAGUCUUGAAGACAACAUAUUCCGUAUAUUUGGUGGGGAUCGGAUUCAGGGGAUGAUGAGAGCAUUUAGAGUGGAGGACUUACCAAUUGAAUCGAAGAUGUUGACAAAAGCGCUCGAUGAAGCUCAACGGAAAGUAGAAAAUUACUUUUUUGACAUCAGGAAGCAAUUAUUUGAAUAUGAUGAGGUAUUGAAUAGCCAAAGAGACCGGAUAUACACCGAGAGAAGAAGGGCCCUAGAAGCGGAUGACCUCCAAGCUCUCCUUAUUGAAUAUGCUGAAUUAACAAUGAAUGACAUCUUGCAGGCAAAUAUUGGUUCUGAUGCUCCAAAAGAAAGCUGGGAUCUUGAGAAGCUUAUUUCAAAGCUACAACAGUAUUGCUAUCUGCUGAAUGAUUUGACACCUGAUUUGUUGGCGGCUAAUGGUUCUACUUAUGAGGAAUUGCAGCAGUAUCUUCAGCUACGUGGACGUGAAGCAUAUCUCCAGAAGAGGGAUAUUGUGGAGAAAGAAGCUCCAGGUUUGAUGAAAGAAGCAGAGAAGUUUCUAAUAUUGAACAACAUUGAUCGCCUGUGGAAAGAACACUUGCAAGCACUCAAGUUUGUCCAGCAGGCUGUGGGUUUACGAGGGUACGCGCAAAGGGAUCCACUAAUAGAAUACAAACUUGAAGGGUACAACCUUUUCAUUGAGAUGAUGGCACAGAUCAGGAGGAAUGUCAUAUAUGCUGUUUAUCAGUUUAAACCAGUCAUGGUGAAGCCGCAAGACCAAAAAAAGAGUGACAAAGUGGACAAAGCCAACACAAAUGGGAGGGGUAGUAAUGGUGCUACCAAUCCAUCACCAUCUGCUGUUAGCUCACAGUCUAGCGCCUAAGGCAUUGUUCUGGAACCGACAGUUUUGGGGUGAGCAGAAGCCAUAUGCGAUGGAUUCUUUCACCAACACAUAAUUCCGAAGUGCAAAGCAACCCAGAUGUCACUUGCAAGUGGAAGUAUUAAAUAAGGUACCCACUGGACUGGCACAUUGUGAAUCAAGCAGCCUAAUCUCAGCUUAGAUUAAGAUAUGAAAUUCAGCAGGCCUCUGCAACAUGUUAUCGUUCGGCAUGAAUACCAUGUAAGUUAUCUUCCUUGAUGUACAUGUCAUUGUAAAGAAGAUGAAAGCUUCUUGAAAUUACAUAUUACUUCACUUU